GUGUUCACCUUGGCAGCACAUAUACUAAAAUUAGAAUGCUACAGAGAAGAUUAACAUGGGCCCUAUGCAAGAAUGACCCAUAAAUUCUUGAAGUGUUCCAUAUUUUU